rnacentral:rRNA from 1 species
CGGCGCACGGGUGAGUAACGCGUGGGCAUCUGCCCUGGGGUGGGGGAUAACCGCUGGAAACGGCGGCUAAUACCGCAUACGCCUUGAGAGGGAAAGAUUUAUCGCCCUGGGAUGAGCCCGCGUUGGAUUAGCUUGUUGGUGAGGUAAAGGCUCACCAAGGCGACGAUCCAUAGCUGGUCUGAGAGGAUGAUCAGCCACACUGGGACUGAGACACGGCCCAGACUCCUACGGGAGGCAGCAGUGGGGAAUAUUGGACAAUGGGGGCAACCCUGAUCCAGCCAUGCCGCGUGUGUGAAGAAGGCCUUAGGGUUGUAAAGCACUUUCACCGGUGAAGAUGAUGACGGUAGCCGGAGAAGAAGCCCCGGCUAACUCCGUGCCAGCAGCCGCGGUAAU